UCAACGGCCGCGGUAUCCUAACCGUGCGAAGGUAGCGUAAUCACUUGUUCUCUAAAUCAGGACCAGUAUGAACGGCUUCACGAGGGUUAUACUGUCUCCUUUUUCCAAUUAGUGAACUUAAUUUUCCCGUGAAGAAGCUGGAAUAAUUAUAUAAGACGAGAAGACCCUUUGGAGCUUUAAACAAUUUAGCACCUGCAAUACCAUUAUAUUUCCGAAUUCUUUAUCUUGCAUGAUGACUAAAAGUUUUAGGUUGGGGUGACCGCGGAGUAAAGUACAUCCUCCACAUUGUAAGAAUCUCUAAUCUUAACUAAGAGAAACACCUCUAAGUAUUAGUAUACUAACAUUUAUUGACCCAAUACACUUGAUCAACGAACCAAGUUACCCUAGGGAUAACAGCGCAAUCCAUUUCAAGAGCCCCUAUCGCCAAAUGGGUUUACGACCUCGAUGUUGGAUCAGGAUUUCCCAGCCGCUCUAAUU
rnacentral:rRNA from 1 species